CAGCCAAGUGCCAGGAGACUAAUGAAGACAGACGGAGAGUGAAAGGGAUAAUAAAAGCCCCAGAAAACUUGGAAGAGGAGAAAGGGAAGCCUUUACGGACCAGUAUGAGGAAAGUAUUUUGUAAACCUUCAAGCUGAUUUUCCUGGUGCCAUAAAGUCCCACCCCGGGAAGCGGAGCAGACACUAAGAAGGCUCCAGGAAAGCGGCUCCCAUUCAGACAAGGCAGAAUGGAUGGUUUUGACAACAGAGGUGCCAUGGAGCUGACUGACUUCCUUGCCUCCCUCCAUCGGUAAAGUUCCCGGCUCUCUGGAAGGUCAUUGAUGGACGGAUAGGUGGCAUCAAAUAUGUAAAUGCCAAGUGUUUCCUCCUGUUAUCGACGUGACAAACUCCAUGGUUGCCUCUCAAGAAAAAUGCCCCUGCCAGGGCUGGUAAUAGAUAGAUGCCAGCCAGCCUUCUUGGGAUGGUGAAACUGACAGCCAAGCAACAGAGAAAUUGAAUGCCACCGGGAAUAUAUGUUGGGACCUUCCCUCAUUUAAUCAAAUAAAAUGCAUUUUAUUAAAAAAAAAAUAUCUACAGGAAGCUUAUCUAUAGCUCCUGCUACUCCCCUUCCCCCAAACCCCAAACAAACAAAUAAACAAAAGAGUUCCUAA